rnacentral:rRNA from 1 species
AUUGAACGCUGGCGGCAGGCCUAACACAUGCAAGUCGAACGAGUGGCGGACGGGUGAGUAAUGUCUGGGAAACUGCCUGAUGGAGGGGGAUAACUACUGGAAACGGUAGCUAAUACCGCAUACCAGCGGAUGUGCCCAGAUGGGAUUAGCUAGUAGGUGGGGUAAAGGCUCACCUAGGCGAAGAUCCCUAGCUGGUCUGAGAGGAUGACCAGCCCAACUGGAACUGAGACACGGUCCAGACUCCUACGUGAGGCAGCUGUGGGUAAUAUUGCACAAUGGGCGCGAGCCUGAUGCAGCCAUGCCGCGUGUAUGAAGAUGGCCGUCGGGUUGUAAAGUACUUUCAGCGGGGAGGCGUUACCCGCAGAAGAAGCACCGGCUAACUCCGUGCCAGCAGCCGCGGUAAUAC